CAAAGUGAAUGUGAAAUGCGAAUAUCAAUAAAACGUGAAAACGAGAAAUUAUCAAAACUUCGAAGACUCGUGCAAAGAUUGGAAAUCAAUGGGAAACGAAACGAAGUGACGAAUGGAUAAAUAUAAAAGGAAGAAAUCAUCAAGGAAUAUUGGAAAGUUUUGAAAAUAUUAUAUAAUUUGAUUGAAUUAAAACAAGAAUUAUUAAAAUAUUUAAAAUAAAUAAAUUUAACUAACUUAUAUUUUUUUCUUUUUUCAGAUACGAUGCUCUUAUCAAGUAAUUUUGGAUCGUGGAAGAAACACUUCUGGAAGAGAGGAUACGCGAAAAAAUGACGAAAAAAUUAACGAAGACGGAGUAAAAAGAGAGGAUCGAUGUGACGAAGUCGGGAAAUCGCAUAAAUAAAAAUUAAAGCAUUCGAGAGCAAGUUGGAAAUACAAUACGUUAUGGAAAUGCGAUACGCGGGGUUGGUUAUCCGCAAUUUUUUAUUUCGUGGCAUAAAUUCUGAUUUAUUUAAAAUAUUUCGAAAAUAAUUAUAUUUUCGGUUGAUCGAAUCGUUUUCAUAUAAAACAGAUUCUUUUUUUUUUUUAAUGUAAAAAUAAAAAUAUAUCAUAUCUUCACAAAUAUAAAA